UACAGAGGGUGCGAGCGUUAAUCGGAAUCACUGGGCGUAAAGCGCACGUAGGCGGAUUGUUAAGUCAGGGGUGAAAUCCUGGAGCUCAACUCCAGAACUGCCUUUGAUACUGGCGAUCUUGAGUCCGGGAGAGGUGAGUGGAACUGCGAGUGUAGAGGUGAAAUUCGUAGAUAUUCGCAAGAACACCAGUGGCGAAGGCGGCUCACUGGCCCGGUACUGACGCUGAGGUGCGAAAGCGUGGGGAGCAAACAGG
rnacentral:rRNA from 1 species